AAAAUCUAAGUGGUAUACUGGUAUAUGGAGGUGUUAAAUUAAUUGGGUUAAUUUCAUAUAGAUUCCUGCAAACGUAGCAAAUUAUAAAUAUAUCCCUAUCAAGUUCAACUUUUAUAUAUUGUCGCUACAAAAUUUCUAAUAUUUUCAAAUAUGUCUCCAUGAUUUAUUAUCGUUAAAAUAUUAUCUACUUUAUAAAUAAAAUAAUUUUUUUGCUAUCACAAAUAUGUCCUUUCAAAAAUCUCAACGGUUAAUUAAAUAGGAGUAAAAAUGUCAAUUCAUCUCAUUAACUAACUAGGAUUAAGUCUUUAACUAUAGUUAACUAAAUUUUUCUAAUGACAAUGACAUAUUUGAAAAUAUCAGAACUUUUGUAAAAAUAAUAAAUAAAAAUUGAACUAUAUAGAAAUAUAUUUGUAAUUUAUUAUGUUUGUAGGGAUUUAUAUGAAAUUAACGCUAAAUUAAUUGUUGGAGGUGGUCACAUGCCACUACUUUUUGGUCAUUUAUUAGCAAUAGGAUAAGGAUUCCAAGAUCAUAAAGGUCGAUGGAGAUUGUUUAUAUUUAUAUAUUUAACUUUAGUUAACAAAAUUACCAAACUAUUCAAUGAUGUAAUUGAACAUAGCUACCUAAAAUUGGAUAAUAAAAUAGUUUUUAGGUGUUGUGGAUAAUAUAUGCUAGAGAAACGCCAAUCAAUUUUGUAUUUGGCCGCAAGUCGAUAAACUUUCUGAGAUUUGAAUGCCGGCCCAUUAUCUGAGAUUACACGAUUCGAAAUUCUGAACCUGUAAAUGAUGUGAUGUUCAAAGAAGCUAACAAUAUUAUCAACUUUGACUUCUGUUAACGAUAUGGAGAAGUUGAAAAAAUGAUGGAGAAGUGGAGUGGUGGAGAAAAUGGUGGAGAAGUAUGGAGAAGUGAAGAAAAUGGUGGAGAAGUGGAGUGAGUGAUGGAGAAGGGCGGGAAUGGUGAGAAAGUGGAGGGAAUGGUCGAGAGAGUGGUAGAAAUGGAGGGAAAAGUAGGAGAUAGUGGAGGAGUGAAUUCAGGGAAGUGAUCUUUUCUUUUCUUUUUUUUCUUUUUUUUUUGUGUUAACAGGUGUUAUUACAAGUACCUAACUUUUAAUGUAAAAAUAAAAAUAUAUACCACUAAUCUAAACUUUUAAGUCAUUUGAUAGCAACUACCAAAUAUUUAGGUAAUUUAUUUUUCCAAUCAAGCAUUUUAUUUUUGUUUUUGUUCGCCAAAACUAUUGAGCGCAAUCGGCGCAUUUGUACAUUUGUAUACCGCGUAUUUAUUUAUCAGUCAUUCAUUUUAUCAGAUUGUUUGGGCUUCAUCAUUUACUGAAUUGUGAUUAUUUUAGUUGUGAACCAAGCUACUGAAUUAACAUUAUAAAAAAAAUAUAUUUUUUUAGAAAAAGGAAUACAUGCAAAUAUCUGAAUGCAUUGGAGAAGGAAAAGCAAAGUAUUUGAAAGAUCAAAUAAUAAAAUUAAAGUUUUAAAAAUUGAAUAGUUAUUUUUACGGAUUAAUUUUAUACAGAUCCCUACAAAUAUAGUGAAUGACAAAUAUAAUCCUAUAAAGUUUAAUUUUUAUAUAUUGUUCCUACAAAAAUCCCGAUGUUAUUAAAUAUGUCCUUGCCGUUAAAAUUUAUUAGAAAAAUUUAGUUAACCAUAGAUUAAAUAUUUAACCCUAAUUAAUUUUUUGACAUUUUUAUCCCUCUUAUAUAUUAUACUGUUAUGACUUUUGGAUAGACAUAUUUGUGAUGACCAAAUUGAAAAAAUAAAUAGUUCUUUAAUUGUUUUCUAAUGAUAACAAAUUAUAAGGACAUAUUUAAAAACAUCGAAACUUUUACAUCGACGAUAUAUGUAUUCACUGUAUUUACAGAGACCUGAAUGGAAUUAAUUUUAUUUUUAAAUAAUUCAAAUUUAGUCCGCGCUACACAUUGGCACCAAUUUUUUAUUUUUAUAUUUUUAAUCUUAGUAAAAACCAGCUUGUCUCACACGUGUCAAUCCACUCACAAGCACGAGGAAGAACACGCCAACCACGUGCGAAUCCGCCAAAAUUAUUGGACGAUUUCUUUUCUUUCUUUCUUUAUUUAUUUUAUUUAUUAUUCGUCCUCCCCAAAUUCCCUUGAUAUAUAUCUAUCGCUCUCCGUGCCACGUCCGCACCAAACUCUUUUUCCUCCAAAAAGUUUAAAGCAUGAAUUAAAUAAAGGGAAAACUUCAGAAAACCCCCCUGUGGUUUCGUAGCUGCUCAUUUUGCCCCCCUGUGAUUUUGUUUUUUUCUUUUUCUUAUCAAUUUCAUUAUUUUUUUUCUUAAAUCAGUAAUAAAGUUAAAAUUAAAGGGUACUAAAGUGAAUAUUUGAUAAAUCUAGAUGUAUAUCUGAAGUUUUUUGUAUAUAAUUUAACGAAAUAUUAACGAAAAAGCUACCGAAAAAAUAAAAACGAAACACAGGGAGGCAAAUUGAUACACUUUAAACCACAGGGGGGCAAAGUGAGAAACUACGAAACCACAGGGAGGGUUUUUGAAGUUUUUCCUUAAAUAAAUAAUGAUAUAUGGCCCAUAUAAUAAUAAUAUAAUAUUUUAAUUAAUUAUUUUAAAGAUUAAUUUUAUACAAGUUUAUGUAAAUAUAGUAAAUAAUAAAUAUAUUUCUACACAGUUCAAUUUGCAUAUAUUGUUUCUACAAAAAUUAUGAUAUUUUUCUGUUAGAAAAAAUUAGUUUAUCAUGGAUAAAAUAUUUAACCCUAGUUAGUUGAUGAGCUGAAUUAAUUAUUUUACCCCUUUUUAAUUAACAGUUAAAAUUUUUAGAGGAAUAUAUUUGUGAUGGUAAAAAUAUUAUUUUAGUUGUAAAAUAAACAGUACUUUAACGAUAACAAAUCAGAGAAAUAUAUUUGAAAAUAUAAAAUUUUUAUAGAAACAACAUAUAAAAAUUAAAUUUUGUAAAAAUAUAUUUAUAAUUUAUUAUAUUUAAAGAAAUAUGUAUGAAAUUAACGCUUUUAAUAAAUAGUUUGUAUUAUGUUACAGGGGAGUCAAAUCAGUAACAAAUUUUUAUUAGGGGAAUAAUUUAGGGUACGUUUUAGAGUUCGCGUAGAACCGCUCUUCCCCUGCCUCGGGUCCUCACUCCUCAGAGGCGCGGGUUCGCACAUCCCAACCGAACCCGAUUCCUGCUGCGUACCCGAAACGUACCAACAAGUCGGGUGGACCCCACCCUCCCUGGUUAUCCCGUCGCGGCGUGCUGUGGGUACGGGGUGCGGUGCGGGCCCCACCACCCACCACUCAUCGUCAAAGAGUAUUCGGUGGACCUGGUGUUCAAUAGACCGGUUCUUCCAAAAAUUCAACCCAAGGGGCAUUUAGAAUCCAAAUCCAAAUUUCAACCAUUAUUUAUUUAUGCUUUCUAGUUCCUUAAAAUUUACAAAAAAAAUCAAAUCAUAAAAAAUAUAAGCUUCUAUUGAUCUCAGUUGCCGAGCUAAAGAUUGGAGAUUGGAUCUGCUGUGUAUGAUACACUUGACUCUUAAUUUUUUAAAAAAUUACUAGUAAAUUUAUAUAUAAAAAAUUUUCAAAAUGAAAGGCCUAUCAAAAAAAUACAAAAAAAAAUCAUUUGAUACAUUAAAAGAAAUUAUCAAUUCUCUGAGUUUACUAUCUAACCUUAUGUUUUUUUUUUGGGUUAGAUAAAUUUAUAAAAAAAUUAUCAAUUUUCUUUUGAAAAGUAAUGUUUUAAUUAAUUAAUAACCUCUAUUAAAUCACAAAAUUUCUGUAUUAUAUUGUGCCAUUUUUCAUCAAAAAUAAAUGUACUAAACUAGAAAAAUAUUAAUUUUUAUUAAUUAAUUAAUUAAAGGGCAAAAUAGUGUCCCUCUCCAAGUGACGUGGUGGACCGGGCUCACAGAAUCUGUCCCCUUUACCAAUCCUUUUCGGAGUGCUCGUUUUCUUUCUAAAGUCCUAAUCCGGAAACUUGGAAUGGGGAAACGCCUCCGUAAAAACUAUAAUUGCAGAGGGGAAACGCGUUUCCCCAACACACAAUCAAUCACCCGCGCCGAGCUCCCUCGUUGCGACGCUACCCAUUCCCAACCCUUCUACGACACGAUAUUAGGGUUUCGUCGCCGGCCCCUUCGCGCGAUCGAUCUCGGAGAGUGGAUUCGGAGGAGGUACUGGGCGAUUUGUUCUCUUCAAUUUCGUUCCUUCUUAGGGUUUCCCUUUUUCUCUGCGAUUGUUUGUUGCUGUUGAUGAUGGUGUAUUGCGGAGAGGGUCGGUUUUGGAGACGUGACGUGAAUUGCUUUGACCUGGUUUUCGUUUGAUUCCGGUGAGUAUAUUCCCUAUUUUAUGAUUGGAGGCUGCUUAUUUUUUCCUUAUUUUUCGGUGACAAAAGGAGAAUUUUUGCUUUGUUGGGAACUAUAUGCUUCGGAUUUCGAGUUUUACUUUUGGAAGUCAUUAUCUGUUAUGAAUAAAAAUGGGUUUCUACAGUCAAUUUGGUGUUUUAGUAAUCAGUUUUUAGAGCCUUAAUAUUUUUUUGAAGGAUUGCUUCUCAAAGGAGCAGCUCGUGACAAAAAGUUGGAAUUUUUUUUUUCCCAUUUUAUGGUGAAUAAUUUGGUUUUCUGAUGAAUUUUUUUUCAUAUUACCUAAUUUGGUUGUAUGAUUCCUUCCUGUUUGCAUAAUUGAAUGGUUUUUUUCUUUCACAAAAUUCACACCUCAAUCUGGUUGUCCUAUUUUAUUUGUACUAGUCCAUCAAGUUGAUCUCUUUUUUUUUUUAAUGCUAGUUGCAAUUUAAUAAUAGGUUGAUGCCACGAAAGCUUCUGAUGCAUGAAUUCAAUGGUGCUUACUUCUUUUUCGUGGUGAUUUUAGGUUUACUUCCUCCUAAUUGAGGUUAUUGAGUUCCAUAGCAAGAAAGAUGAGAUAUUUGGCUCGAUCUGUUUGGCAACUUCGGCAUCUAUCGAGGGUUUUGGGCGCAGAAAUCUCUUCGAAGGGAUUGGAGAGAGGAUGGAUCGCUCCAGUUUGGAUUAGUUCAGUUUCCCGUUCGUUAAAUGGCUCGUUUCAUUAUAGAGAAAUCACUGGAUAUAUGAAUCAGGCCGUGGUCUUCAUGAGGACUCUCUCCACAUCUGCAGCAAAUGAUGCAACAGCAGGUUUUUUUUUUUUUAUUUUAAUGGUGCUUUUGUUAUCUUAAUGGUCAUUUUUGGUUUACUGUUGAAUAAUUUGCUAUAUUUGAUAUUAUCCCAGCUGCUACAGAUGCGGCAAGAGCCGGUCCGUUAAUGGAAUAUGAAAAAAGAAUCGUAUCAGGGGAACUUGUUGACGGCGAUUGCUUUCAGGUUUUUACCAAAGUUUAGGCCUAGUUGUGGUGUAUUGCUUCCUUGUUUUUUAUAUCCUUUAAGUUACCAAUUUCCCCUUUUUCUUUUACUGAUACUUUCAGCUCGAUACUCUUCGACUACUGCAAACGCUCUACGACCAGCUUGUUGAGCAUGAAGAUGCCUGCCAAUUGGAUAGAUAUAAUUCGUCGAAGAAAUCUGGGAGGUUCGUAACUACAACAACUUCUUGGUGAAGGAGUUUGAAAGCAAGCACUUUAUCUUUAUCAGGUUUUGUGGGACUAAUAUUUGGAUGUGGUUGACAGGAGUAGGUGGCUAUGGUCCCGAUUAAUUCCACAAUCUUCAUAUGCACCAGUGAGAGGGCUAUACCUUUAUGGAGGAGUAGGGACAGGGAAAACAAUGCUCAUGGAUUUGUUUUACGAACAAUUGUAAGUGGGUUUUGUUCUGCUGGGACUUAAAGAAUGGAGUCGUGCUGGUUCUUGUUUAUCUAUUCAACUAUUUCUCUAGAAUUUGCGAUGCACUAAGUAAUGGUUCUUGCUUAGCCAUUUGCAUAGUUCUCUGAAAUAUGCAAUGCAACUGUGAACAUUUGUGUCUUGCUGGUUAAUUCGUCGUUAUGUCCUAUACGAUACUUAACUUUGUAAUGUUAAUAAAAGUGUUCUUGCUUCUCCAUUUGCAUGGUUCUAUGAAAUUUGCAAUGCAACUGUGAACAUUUGUGCCACACUGGUUUAUCCAUGGUUAUGUUCUCGGUAAUGCUAAUAUGAGUUAUUAACAAACCUAGUAGCACAAAUUUUCAGUCACAUGAAACUUAAUUUGAUGUAAAUUUGUUAGGAAGUGUUAAUCCAAACAGUCUGUUAUCUUCUUCUCUAUGUAGGCCAUCUAAUUGGAGGAAAAAACGAAUUCAUUUCCAUGAUUUUAUGUUGAAUGUACACAGCCGUCUCCAGGUAUGAUUAGGCGCAUGUUUGACCUGCUGAAAUAGUUUAUCGAGAUCCCAGAUCUCCAUAUUUUUCCUCUCCCUCUUCCUGAAGAUGUUAUUUUUGAAAACUCUCUAAUAUGCUUCUUGCGCAUUUUUUGGCCCACAACUCUGGAUUUCUAGAAGCAUAAAGGGUUAGCAGAUCCACUUGAGGUUGUUGCUGCCGAAAUAUCAGAUGAGUCCAUUCUAUUAUGUCUUGAUGAGUUUAUGGUACGUAUGUGGUACAACAGUUGGUCGCCCUUUUCUUUUACUAUCUCUUAUUAACUUUCAUUAUUGGUGUAUCGGUAAUUGGAAAUCCAUAUUUAACAGGUGACUGAUGUUGCCGAUGCUCUGAUAUUGAACCGGCUUUUUCGACAUCUAUUUAACAAAGGCGUCGUAUGUAUAUAUCAGUACUCUUAUGUUCUUCUUUUUUUUUUCUUUUUCCCUUUCCCCUUCAAGUUUGUAUGCUUCUUUAUUUUGUGCCCAAAAACUGUAUUAGCUUUUCUUUUUUCUUUGCUCUUUGUCAAUCCCAUUGGUUUUUGUAUUUAAUAGGUUCUUGUCUCCACUUCAAAUCGUGCUCCAGAUCAACUCUAUGAAGGUGGCUUACAGAGGGACCUUUUUUUGCCUUUCAUUGAAACCUUGAAGGUAUUAUUAACUUGUUUUUAUUUAUGAACCUAUUUAUAUCGGGCUUUCAUAUAUACCGUAUCCCUGCAAAAUUAUGUCCCCAUGAAUUUUCAAGCGUACACCUUAAAUAUACAGUUUCAUACAAAACUACCCUUAUCUUUAAAUGGAGUGGUGUCAUUCAAUUCCAGGGAGAAGUUGGCUUUUGAAAAGAGCACAAAGUAAGAAAUUACGUUCUUGAAGGACGUAGUAAGAUUCAGAUUUUGCAGGGAAGCAUAAGUCAAUUUUGCAGGGAUGUAUGUGUAAAUGUCUCUUACUUAUCUCUCCUUGAGAAAUAAAUGAAAAUAUGUUGGAACUGCGAAUGCAGGAAAGGUGUAUAGCUCAUGCAAUUGGGUCUUCCACAGACUAUCGGAAAAUGGGUUCUGUAAGUUUAUUACCUUCUCCAUUAUAAGACCUGCUGCUUAACAGUAAAAUUUGCACAAAAGUUAUGACUAUUACUAACAUUUCUUUUACAUAACAUUGCUGCAGGCGGAGCAAGGUCUAUAUCUUGUUGGAAAUCAAUAUGGCCCACUCCUUAAGCAGAAAUUCCAUUCCUUAAUAGGGCAGGAGAAACCUCGGCCUCAAGUUGUCGAAGUUGUAAUGGGACGAAAAUUGCAGGUUUUUUAAUAUUUGAGUUACUGAAGGGCAUGCAUAAACGUUUGAGCAGUUUCCAGCCUAUAAUUAGUGAACCUUAUUCUUCUCUCUUUUUUUCUUUUUUUUUUUAUUUUUAUUUUGAAACCUUAGGUCCCACUAGGAGCAAAUGGAUGUGCUUAUUUUCCUUUUGAAGAGCUUUGUGACAGGCCUUUAGGGGCAGCGGAUUACUUCGGCUUGUUCAGUGAGUUCUUAUCUCUUCUUUUUGUGAUUCUGUGUUGAGAAGUUUUAGUCUUUAGGAAAUCACAGAAUUUGUUGUCGUGAUGGAUAUCACAAUUGUUGUGCAGAAAAAUUUCAUACAUUGGCACUCGAAGGCGUACCGAAGUUUGGGCUUCACAACCGAACCGCAGCUUAUCGGUUUGUCACUUUGGUUGAUGUAUGUCUUAAUCUUUAUUUUCCCUCCAGUUUUAUAUAUGAAUUUUAUGAAGAAAACUGGUAAUGUCUUGCUUAAAUCAGCUUUUGUAGUUUUGUCAUAAUUGUCAGCGACUUUCACAUUUUUAGAUUAACUGUCAAAUUUUUAGAUUUUUGCCCACUUGGGGACACUCAAUAGACACUUAAAAUCCGUGAAAGCUUUUCAUUCCAAAUUAAAGUUGCAUAAAAGUAGAAACUACUUGUACAAAUUAUAAUCCUUAGUAAUUUUUUAUAUGUAGAUUCUGCACUUGCAUUAACUACUCAUAUACAUUAGCUAAUCACAUACGCUAUCCUCGUCUCGUAGUUUUCAAGAUUUUCCAAUUUUUUCGAGGCUUAAGAUGCACUUCAGCGCAGAGAAAUUCUAAUGCAAAGUCCAAAUUUUCACAGGUGAUGUAUGAGAACAGGGCCAGAUUGUUGUGCACGGCCGAAACGCCUCCAGUUGAGUUAUUUGAGAGGAUCGUAACAGUGGCUGAUGCCCUAAAAGUUUCUCCUCGAUCUUCACGAGCGCCGAAGGGAGAUGACCCCGACCUGUGUGUCGACAACCAGCUAGGGUUCGCCAAAGAUCGCACCAUUAGUAGGUCUGUUGCUUACAUCGAACAAAAUUACCUAUGAUGUGUGGGAUCAUUGUCGAGUGAAGAAAUUUAUUUCUUUUGAUUCAUUGGAAAUUAUUUUAUCAACUAUCAAAAGUUGCCUUAAAAGGUCUCUUAGCAUUACUUUUUCUUUGUUUUUGGGAAUUGUAGGUUAACGGAGAUGAACAGCAAAGAGUAUUUAGAACAGCAUGAGGCCAACUUGCACAGGUCCUCCGAAGAAACGCACGACAAUGGUGACAUGUUACAAUCUCGACAACUCGUUUUGGACUAACAUUUUUUCUGAAUCAGACCGGCGCAGUCGAUUCCGUAAUUAUUUUUCACCAAAUAAUAGAACACAGGUUUCAAGUGAGAGCCUUGAUCCUGUGCACCUUGUAAAUCUUGUGUGGGGGUAUGAAGAUGCCGAAUCUGAUAUUAUUCCAAUAAACAAGAUGAUUCAAUCUUGAAUUUGGUUAUAUGUGUAUUGUCGGACUCAAAAGCGUCGAUUCGGGGACUGUAGAACAGCUUCAACUUCUUGCCUUUCUGCAGAGAACAAAGCUAAAGUUCGAUUCUUGCAGAUCAUUUCUAUGAAGAGGGGUAUACCCAAAUAUAGAAUUUCUUGUCGCAUAUCAUUAUGUUUUCAUUUUUCAUUUAAGAGAAUUCAUAGAGGAUUUUUCUGUGCUGUAGAUUUCUUGGUUAUUGAUGUAGCUAAUGCUAUGACUUAUCGCAACAGUAUGGUUCUCUUUUGUGAUGGAGUGUUAAGAGUUUAAUUUUGCGUAAUAAUACAUUUAGGUCCCGUUCAUUCCGCAACGUAAAAAAUUUUUGAUGAAGGAUUAUGUUUUUACAAAUUAUUAUGCUAGAAUUAAAUUCCAAUGUUGUAUGAAUAUUUUUAUUUAGUUCAUAUUAUUAGACAAUCUGACAUUAUACAAUUUCUAUGCUUGGUUCAGCAUGGGAAUAACUGAGACAUUUGCACCUAAUGAUCCCAUUACAGUAUAUCUUUAUUCUAACUGUAUCAAUCAUUUUCAGCUUUCCAGCUCAGCAAAAAAUUCAAAAUUAUAUAUUUGCCCUGCUCAAUUACUCUCUUGAAGCAAAGAAGAGAUCGAAGUGCAAUUAUAUAUUUCCAGUAGCUCAUCAUUGCCCCUCAAUACUCAUUAACACGCGAAAAGAAUCAAAAUUUGAACAGUAAUGACUCUGCAUGUCAAUACAGCGAUAUUAUGCAAUUUCCUGAAACAUUUGAACCUUUUAGACCCCAAAAGAAAACAGUGGAUUUGGAUUCAUAAUACGCUCGCAAGAGACUUCGCAAGCUCAAAAAAGUACAACAGCUGCGUAAGGAGAAUUCAUAUUUUCGAUCCAAUUGAAUAUCUCUACGACUAUGUUAGAAGAACAAAAGCUGUUGCGUCAAAAUAAAGACUACCGAAACAGCUCCACGGGGUGGAUACGGCCAGAGUAGAAAUCGAGCAAUAUCAAAGCAGCAGCAGCUACUUUUUUUUCCUCCUUGAUGUAAUCUCAAAUGCCCAAGCUUUACCCACAUCUGUUUGAAACUUUCCUGCAAAGCAACAGAACAUCAGCACAAACUGUUCAGAGCCAUGUCAUGAACCAUGUCCCGUGUUUAUGUGCCAUAUAGAACACCUAGAUCUUAAAUGAACUAGAUGAAUUUGGCUCCAAGUUUAAGGCCAGAUAGACUUGCCAGAGAUUUCGCAAUGAAAGAGACAAGACAAGGAAUUUUUUGUUCGAGUUGAACUGGGGGUGAGCUUUUCAGAGUUUGUAGAAAACAAUGAUAUGAAGCUAAAAGAGAAUUGAAGUGGUAGAAGAUUGGCAAAAUUGGGUCAUAGGAACCAGCACAAGGCUUAUAUAUACCAUACCUGCUGUCGACUGGAAGAAUUCUUCUAAAUCAAUUCCUUGCUCUGCAUAAGAAAAUAAAGAAAAACUGUUGCAAACUAAAACCAUGAUACGACCUUGUCUCGAUAUAAAUACUCCAACAACAUAAUAAAAACACAGAGAUAUUGCAAACUUUGUAGGAUAGGUGAAGCAUUUUUGAUAUUGCGAUUCAGUGUGCUCCAUUGCAGAAAAACCACAUUGUGGUCAACCUAAUAAAAUGUAUAAAAAGUUCGAAAAAUUUGAGAACAGGUAAGCUCCCCAAACUUUAAAAACCAUUUCAUAAAAUAUUUAACUACGAUGGCAGAACAAAUAAGCAAAUCCGUCUAUUUCACUUUUAUGCAUAUCUUUACUCUUCAUACCGAUAAACUGCAAUUAUUAUUGCUAUUAAUGUAAACCAGAAUGCUUGUAGGAGUAAAAUAGUCAGAUCAACUGCGGGUGGGUGGGAGUUUGCGAGGUUGGUAAUAACAAUGUAAUAGUACAUCUAACUGUUAGCCACCGAAGCAAUGGUCUAAUGCCUACGCCAAAGCACCCCUUAACUAGGUUGGUGCCUAAGAUAGACAAAAAUAGAAAAUGUAGUAUUGUCAAGCAUUGGAUGAAAAACUUACCAUUUUCAUAUUCCAGUGCUUGAAGUAUCAUCUCAACCUAGAAAACAAAAUAUUAAUUGAAAUACUUUAAGGCUGCCUAAUUAAAGAAAAAACAAAAGAAAAGCAGCAGACGGAUAACCAUGCCAUCAAUUUGCAUGACGACAGCAGAUCAAGCCAUGUCAAGUGCCAUUAUCUACUCAAAGUUUUGCUGGUACGGUAUAGAAUAUUAAAUUUAAAGAUCGCUAAUCAGUUUAUAACAAAUUAUAGUCUACAGAAUAACUCCAAACAAGUAUAAUGAUCAGUACAAAUUGAUACUUUGCAGGAUAGUAGACCACAUAUGUUAACUGUGUAAACACCUAUUGAAAUCUUCUAAGGGAUCCAACAAAUAAGCUUAUAGUUAUCUAUUAAACCAAAAGUUACAGAACUCAAGUUACCUCUUCAAGGUUAUUGUAUAUUACAAAUGACAUACCUUGUCAAAGUCCUUGACAAUCUUUGCCUCCGGCGAAGAAUUCUCCUCAUAUUCCAUCCACAGCUCAUGUAUUUCUUUUGCUGUAGAAGAAUUAGCUGAGGAAAUCAAUAUGUGACGGCAUGACAAUGCUAAAAGAUGAAAAGAUUAAAAUGCACUGCAACAAACUAGCGACACAUUCUGAAGUACAGUUAUAAAACAGCAACUAUGUUGUCUAAAACCUGAAUGUUUGGAAUGUAUUUAGGCAUUUCAAGUUGACAGGCUCAAUAACUCUUCAUCUCUAUAAUUGAAUCAAUCUGAUCAAACUUACCAUGACAAGAUACAAUAGUUUGAGAAAGGAAUAAAUGAACUUGGGUUUCAUUGCAUCUAUUGAAGUCCAAUUAAUGUAUAUACUGUUCUACCUCUGGAUCCUCCGCCGAGUAAGUUGCACAUGUGAUCUAGUGCUUCCUUCUCCAUUCGAUUCUUUUCCAGCUUGGGUACGCCAUCCGACGGAGUGAUAUCACCAACAAUGGCUGCAUAAGCAACAUGUUAUACAAUUUAUAAGAUGAAACAUGAGGCAUAAAAAUAAGCAACAAAUUACGAACUAGACGAAAUAAAAUAAGAUGCGAAUGCAAAACAAGCAUACAUUGAAAGAUGCAAACUUUUCUACUCUACCAAACAAAAAUUUCAUACAAAAGACGAAUGCAGGGAUUUUUAUACAAAAAUGUAUCACAAACUUUGCUUUUCAGAAAAAUAACUAACUAUUUUAUAUUCUAAAAAAAAUUGCAAAUUUAAACAUAAUACCUGCAAACACUCCAAAUUUGCACUCUUAGAAGUGUCAAAUCAGCGGGAAAAAAAAAAUAAAAAAAAAAGUAGCUACACAAUAAAUGGUAAAGAAAAGUAAAAAUUGAUCAUUGCACCUUCCGCAAUAUCGUGCACGAUCGCCAUCUUGAUACACCUACACCAUAAUAUACAACCCCCCAAAAAGAGGAAAAACGAGCACGAGAGAUCAGGAGCUUGCAUUUAGAUUCACAAAAACAGGGAAGUGAGCUGGUAGUUAAGGUCAGCGUUCCCGUACCUGUCGCGAUCGAUCCCGGGCAUGUCGGGGGCGACGAGCGCCAUGACGCCCAUCCGGUACAUGUGAUCGGCUACCGACUCCGGCUCCCGCACCCCCCUCCGCACCCACCCCGCCCUCUUCGUCGUCUGCAACAGCCAAAUCGCCAUUGCCAGAGCUCCAGCUAAGCAACGCGAUCGAGAUACAGAGAUCGAGAGAGAGAUCGAGAGAGAUGAAGGGGACGGAGAAGGAAAAGGAGGAGGAGGAGAUGAUGACCUUGAGGCGGUGGCAGAGGGAGAGGAAGUCGAUGGCGGCGGCGGCGGCGGAGGAGGAGGAGGGGGAGGGGGAGGGGGAAGGGGAGGGGUCGGGUUGGGAGGAGGAAGACGACAUGAGGACCGUGCGAUUGCGGAUCGGACGGUGGGGAUUGAAGCGGGGGGCAAUGGAGGAGGAGAUGAGGGUGUAGGAUUUGGUGUAGAGAGUGAGGGGUCGGCUCCCACCCAUCAUCUUUUUUUCUUUUUUUAAUCUCUCUUUUAUUUAUUUAUUUAUUUAUUUUAGAUUGUUUGUUCCGAGAGGUUCCGCUAAUUUCCACUCGGGUGAAAUACCGAAAAUGCCCCUGCACCAAAGGGCUGUUUUGGUUCUUUGGAAAAUUAUUUGUUGAAAAAAAAUUAUUAAUGGAAAAAUAUUUUUCUUCCCAACAGUUUUUAUUUUUUAAAUAAAAAAUUUAAAAAAUUUCCAAAAAUCCUCGUAACUUAUUUCAGAAUUAUAGUUGUUUUAUUAAAAUAUCUAUAUUUUUUUUGUUUUAUAAUCAGAUUGUAAAAGAAAAUUAUUUUAAUUAGCUUAGUGUAAUAUGUGUAAUCACUAUGAUUUGAUAGUCUUAUAAAAUUAAAAAAAAAAUUACACAUUUUUUUCAUUUCAUGUGACAUAAAUUUUCUUUUAUUUUUUACACUCUCUAAAAAAAAUCAUAAAAUGAAUUGGGUACAUAUGAUGAUAUGAAUAUUUUUUUGUUUUGUGAUUGCAAAAAUUAUGUAUUAAUUAAAUUAAUAUAAUCACUGUAUAUGGUCCACAUGACGUGUUAUUAAUGAUGUUAUUUUUUGUUAUAGAUUUUUGAAGUGGUAAAAGUUAUUAGGCCAAUUUGCAUAAAAAAUUCACUUAUUUUGGGCUUUGAAAAAAUCGGGCCACAUUUUUCAUUUUUUCAGAUUCGGUCCACUUUUUUAGCAAAUUGAUCAAAAUAUUCUUAUACAUUUUUCUCUCUCCUCUUUUUUUCUCUCGUUCUUUUUUUUUCUUUCUCUUCCCAGAGCACGGCAGAGAUAGAGCCGGAGGCGGAGGUUGAGGCGAAGGCAGCCUGCUUCGGUUUUGUCCGACGCAUCCUUACCCUCGCCCGCACAUCCCCCGCCUUCCUCGUCUCUGAUACCGCCGAGGCCGCACUGCGAUUUUUUUUUUUCCUCUUCGACUCCUCCACCGCCUCCGACGACGGCGACUAUCUCACACUCUCUCACCUUUCUCACCCUUUCCCUCUCCUUCCUCCUUCACCUCUUCCGCUGCCUUCGACAACAACACUUCUCUGCCGACAUCGGCGCUGCGGAGGAUUUUUUUUCCUUUCCGACUCUCCUCCACUGUCUCCGAUGACGACGCCUCUCUCACCCUUCCCCGCCAUUCUCGUCCUCUCCCUCUCCCUCCUCCUCUGCUGCCUCCAACGACGAUGUAUUUUCGCCGACGCCGACACCGUGGAGGUCACUUUGGCGGUGCAGCCUCGGAGUGGGGGGUCCUUAGCAGCGUCGUCGCCAGCGCCGUGGUCGUUGGCAGAGAGGGGUGAAAAAAAAAAAUUAUAGAAGAAGCAAGAAAAAAAAAAUAAAGAUAAAAAAUUAUAGAAAAAGAAGGAUGAAGAUGAAAUUGUAUCGUUAACUACAAAAAAAAUUAUAAGUUGCACUACUUAAGAUGUAAACUGCAGUUUUAAAAUAAAAAUUACACUCUUUAAACGAGAUUACACUCUUUGGGAGAUAUUUACACUAUUUCUCCUCUUAUUGCACUCUUUCGGUUGUAAACUGCAUCCAUUAAGAUAAAAGUUACACUCUUUAAACGAAAGUUGCACUCUUUGAGAGAUAUUUACAUUAUUUCUCCUCUUCUUGCACUCUUUGAUAUAUAAACUGCACCCUUUUAAGAGAUAUUUAUACUGUUUCUUCUCUUGUUGCACUUUUUUUCCUCUUGUUGCACUAUUUCUCCUCUUGUUACACUAUUUCUCCUCUUAAAAGGUGCAGUUUAAGAUAAAAACAGUGUAACGAGAGGAGAAAUGGUGCAACAAGAGGAGAAACAGUAUAAAUAUCUCUUAAAAGGGUACAGUUUAAGAUAAAAACAGUGUAACGAUAGGAGAAAUAGUAUAACAAGAGAAGAAACAGUGCAACAAUAGGAGAAACAGUAUAAAUACCUCUUGAAGGAUUGCAGUGUAAGAUAAAAACAGUGUAAUAAGAGAGAAAAUAGUACAACAAGAGGAGAAACAGUGCAACAAGAGGAGAAACAGUAUAAAUACAUCUUGAAGGGUUGCAGUUUACAUCUCAAAGAGUGCAAUAAGAGAAGAAACAGUAUAAAUAUCUCUCAAAGAGUGCAAUUUUCGUUUAAAGAGUGUAACUUUCAUAUUAAUCGAUGCAGUUUACAUUUGAAAGAGUGCAAUAAGAGGAGAAACAGUGUAAAUAUCUUUCCAAUAGUAUAAUUUUCGUUUAAAGAGUGUAAUUUUUAUUUUAAAGCUGCAGUUUACAUCUUAAGAAUGCAAGUUAUAAUUUUUUUUUCAGUUAACGAUACAAUUUCAUCUCCAUCCUUCUUUUUCUAUAAUUCCUUAUCUAUAUUUUUUUUUUCUUACUUCUUUUGUAAUUUUUUUUUGUCAUGCCUCUUUGCCAACGGCCACGGCGACGACGCCGCUAAGGACCCCCCGCUCCGAGGCUGCACCACCGCAGUGACCUCCACGGUGUCAGCGUCGGCGUCGGCGUUCGCGAAGAUGCGUCGUCGUUGGAGGCGGCAAAGGAGGAGGAAGAGGAAGAGGAUGAGAAGGACGGGGAAGGACGAGAGAGGCGUCGUCGUCGGAGACGGUGGAGAAGAGUCGGAGAGAGAGAAAACAAAAAAAAGCCACGGCGUGGCCUCGGCGGGGUAGGAGGCGAGGAAGGUGGGGAGUGUGCGGGCGAGGGUAAAGACGCGCCGGACAAAAUAGGCCGCCUUCGCUCUGUCUCCGCAGCUCUCUAGAAAGAGAAAGAAAAAAAGAACGAGAGAGAAAAAAAGAGGAGAGAGAAAAAUGUAUAAGGGUAUUUUGAUCAGUUUGCUGAAAAAGUGGACCGAAUCUGCAAAAACGAAAAAGGUGGCUCGGUUUUGCAAAAAAACAAAAUAAGUGGAUUUUUUAUGCAAAUUGGCCAAGUUAUUAUUCAAAUAUAGAAUAAAUAAAUUUGAUCACUAAUUUCACUCAAUUUUAAAAAAUAUAAAAUUUUUACAUUUUUUACAUUUUUCUCAUGCACGUGCUCCGCACGUGACCGGCGAACCACGAAAGAGAGAGAAGCAUUCGGGUAUCGAACUCUAAAAUAUGCCCGAUACUCUCUCUCUCUCUCUCUCUCUCUCUCUCUCUCCACCGCUCUCCGACCCCCUUGAAUUAGGGUUUCGCGGAGACGAACCCCUCACCGCCCCACCCACCCUUGCGAAAACCCUAGCGGAUCCCUCGAUCGGGAACGAUGAAGCUCACCGUGAAGACCCUCAAGGGCACCCACUUCGAAAUUCGGGUGCAUCCCACUGAUACCGUGAGCCCUCCUCACCAUCAUCUUCUUCUUCCUCUCUGAUCCCUUCUCCUCGUUCGAUUUGUCUCUCUCUCGAUCUUAUUUGAUCGAUUUGUGUUAUAAAUCUAUUGCAUUGAUGUGUUUGGAUGCAUGCUGGUUGCAUGCUCCGCAAACAAUUGAAACGGAGGAGUUUGAGCAUUGGAUUUCUUCGUUGUUUAUCUGAAGCUAUUAGUUUUUGGUCUAGUGUUAGUUUGUAAAAGUAUGUGUCGGAGUGAACUAGGCAUUACCAGCGUGAUGUUUGUAAUGCUCUUAUGCGACUUCACGGGGUGGAUUAAUGUAGUGGUGGUAGUUCUUUUGAAACAUGGGGUAAACCAGCAUUACAAUUUCUGUUCAAAACUAUUUAGUUUGAGAUGAUGCUACAUAUACGAUAUACAAUUCAGUAGUCUUAAAUAUUCUUACGGUGUUAUACUAUGGAGCAUGUUUAUUUAAACAUGACAAUAUGACAUUUUCAUUUUGAUGUGAAAGUGGGUUCAGCAGGAGCAGUUCUAUGGUUCCUUUGGUGAUGUCUAGUUUGUGAAUAAGGUUUUCUUAAACAGUAAAGUUUAUUCCAUGCUUUCUGAGUUGUAUGAUUCUGAUUCAUAGGCUUGAUUUAAGAGAACAAUUAGAAUAUAUGUAAUCAGUACUCUAUUAUUGAUGCUAUAUGACUUUUGCUAAUAUUAUGAUGUUGUCAUCCUAUAAACUUUCUAAGUUGUUCAAGAGGUCACCACCUUAAUUUUUGUAGGAAUUGUCAACUUUUAUCUUACAUGUACUUAUGCGCUAACUUGCUUCUAGUAGUACUUCCGAUAAAAUUCAACCCCUUUUAUUCUUUUACUCAUUUCGCUUUUUCUCUUGCAGAUAAUGGGUGUGAAGAAAAUUAUCGAAGAGGUACAAGGGAAAGAUAGUUAUCCAUGGGGUCAGCAGCUGUUGAUUCAUAAUGGAAAAGUUUUAAAAGACGAAAGUACUCUGGAAGAGAACAAAGUUAGCGAGGAUGGUUUUCUUGUUGUCAUGCUAAGUAAGGUGCGUCAGUGUAGCUGGAAAUAGGCAGAUUGGCGUUUACGUGAUUAAAAAUGUGUCGGCCUUCCUUAAAUAUUUCAUUCCAUUGAUUCCAAUAGGAAAUGUUCAUAUGUGGCCUGGAUUAGGAAUUUUUAUUUCAUCCUUUUUGUGUGAAUGCAAGGAAAUUGAUUUCUUCCUAUGAAAAAAAUGAAAAUUUAAAUAUUGCUCCCUCCAAAAUAAAUACUAUUAAUGUUUUUGUAUCUCCUCAGAGCAAAACUUCAGGUGCUGGUGGGUCUUCAUCUGCCCAGGUAAAUUCCAUACUACAGAAUUGUAUGAAUUUUUAAUGUCCUUUAGGUAUUAACCAGACAUCUGUGUAAAUAGCCUUCAGCAACUCCUGCUGUGAAACAACCUGCUCCUGCAGAGGCUCCACCACAGGCUCCGUGAGUAUUCUUUCUUUUUAUGUCGCUAAAUUCUCCGAAUGUACUUAUUGUGUCACUAAAUUCUCUGAAUGUACCGACCCUGCUCAUAUUGUUUACUUGUUAAUAAUCCUUUCUGUUAUUUUAUAGGGCGUUGUCGACUGUUGCAACCGGAUCUGAAAGACCAAAUUUGGAGUGCGAUUCUUCUUACUGAAUUAUAUUUGCUUCUACCUGUUAUCACCUUUGUUUUACUUAUAUAACUUUGGUGGGUGCAACCAGAAGAGAAUUGACUGGAAGUAAUGAAAUAAUAACUCUAAUUUCUAAUUUUCAUUAAUCAUUAUUAAGUGAAUGUUGAGUGUCUUGAUAGAAGCAAUUGUGUACAAUGCUCCUUUAGUUAAUUUAGUGAUUCAUCUUUAGGCGUAUGACAAGGGUAUUUGCUAUUGUGUGGUGAUUUCAUGUAGUUAUGCUGAAUUAGGUACUACUUUUUAUGUAGUUAUGCCAACUUGGGUACUACUUUUUAUGUAGUAAUGCCAACUUAGGUACUACAUUUUUAUAGUGGUGAUCUUUUUUCUCGUGUACUCUGGGAUGAGUUAGUUGUAUAAAUUGGGUCCUGGACAUGCAAGCUGCUUGGUUACAUUGAAAAAUCUUAAGACAAAGAGCUGGCUGAAUGACUUUUUUCCCCCUUCUUUGCAGUGUUUCUGCUGAUGCAUAUGGGCAAGCUGCAUCUAAUCUAGUUGCUGGAAGUAAUAUCGAACAGACGAUUAACCAGUUGAUGGAGAUGGGUGGUGGUAAUUGGGAUAGAGAUACGGUUCUACGAGCACUUCGGGCUGCUUAUAAUAAUCCAGAGCGUGCUGUGGAAUAUUUAUAUUCUGUAUGUUACUCUCUUGAGUAAAAUUUAUAACUUAGCCUGCUGCCUGUUUAGCCUGGAGCCCGUAAUAGCUUCUCUCCUCUGAGAAGCAACAGUGAGGUGGUAGAGCUUUUGCUGUGGCAAGAAGCUGAAAUGGACUUGUAGGCCCAGGUGCAGAAACUCCAACGUGAUGAUUCUUGAUCUGCUCCAGCGAAAAACUGUUGGCAGUUUUUUAACGAAAAAAGUUGUUAGUGUUCUUCAAAUAGUAUUCAAACAUCACGUCUGCAGCAGCUCUAGACAAUUUGAAACUGAGAUAUUAGUAGCCAAUGAUUUUCCUUUAUGUAUGUUAGGGUAUCCCAGCAUCAGCAGACAUCGCUGUUCCAGCUGCUGCUUUCCCAUCAUCUGAGGCUACUGGUCAAGGGACCAAUACAACUGAAACUGCUUCUACCGGGGCGGCACCCCUCUCUGGAGUGCCCAAUUCCUCUCCUUUGAAUAUGUUUCCUCAGGUUUAGUGCUUUCCUUGAACAAGUUUCUAUCUUCUUUUUUGUUAUCUCUAAUGUGUACUAUUAUAACUGUAAGCAGGGGAACCCAAAUGCCGGUGUCGGUGCUGGAGGUGGAUCUCUUGAUUUUCUUAGAACUAACCAGCAGGUGUGUAAUAAUUAACAUGCCAAACUAUCUGGUUUCUCGUAGAGUUUUUAUUGGUAGUGGUGUUAUUAUGUUAUAGGUAUUUUAUAUUUCCAUAUCUUUGAGUUCAUCUCGCUCUCUCUCCCCUAAUUGCUUACUUCUUUUUAUCUUGAUGAUGCUUUAGUUUCUCGCCUUGCGAGCAAUGGUCCAAGCAAACCCACAAAUAUUACAGGUCUGUCACUCUUGUUAUUUCAAAGGAUGUUCUAAUAUGCUUUUGCAAUUUUUUUUUUUUUUACUCUUUAUACGUUAUUAUUGCAGCCAAUGCUCCAAGAGUUGAGCAAGCAAAAUCCUCAACUAUUGAGACUGAUUCAGGAGCAUCAUGCUGAAUUUCUUCAGCUGAUAAAUGAACCUAUUGAAGGUGUUGAAGGGUGAGUCUCUUCAUGCGUGAGCACCAACAAUUUCUCAAUAACUGAGGGAACAUCUGGUAGUAGAAGGUUUUUGUGUGGUCUUUGGGUCACAGUUUAUAGAUGCCAUUACAGGUUGAAACUUGAAACAGUUUACUGGACUUAGUGCCCAAAGUAUUUCUAGCAACUGGUGGCUGUUAUUAUAACUAAUGUAUAUGAUAUCAGGAUUAGCUCUGCUCGUCUACAGUUUAGGCUUGUAAGUAGUUAAAUGAAAGUGAAUAAUGGUAUUGAACCAAAGGGCAUGGCAUAUUUUAAGAUUCUUUUGCUGAUACCAUUGUGAACUUUGUUGAUUCUGCAUAAAGGGUUUCUUACAAAUUAUAUUUGCAUGCAGUCAAAGUUAAUAACGCUCAGCACAUAUAUACCAGGUUUUGUGUAGUUGUAUCACGUAGUCCACUUAAUCGACAUACAAAACAACUUGUGGUAGACAAUUAGACAUUGGCUUAGAUAAGUUUGUUUACUUUAAAUCCUAGAUAUGUAUUUUUUUUUCCACACUAAGUUUUGUACCACUUCUUGAGUGUUUUCCUAACAUAGUAAUUUUCAGGGAUCUUUUUGAUCAGCCCGAUCAGGAUGAUAUGCCCCAUUCAAUUAGCGUGACCCCCGAAGAGCAAGAGGCUAUUGGACGAGUAUGUCCAUCCUUUCAUUUUCUCCUCUUAUAUAUCUAGUUAUAUUCUUGCUUUUUCCCUCAUGAAUUUGUGAUAAAUUUCCCAGCUCGAAGCAAUGGGGUUUGACCGUGAGCGUGUGAUUGAGGCAUUCUUAGCCUGUGACAGGAAUGAGCAGUUGGCAGCAAAUUAUCUUUUGGAGCAUGCUGGUGAUGAGGAUUAGAUGAUAUACAACAUAUUUUAUUUAGUAAGCACCUUGUCUUUGCGAUUCAUUAGUUUCUAGCAAUUUCCAUUUGCUUCCUUCAACUCAUAUUCAUACUUUGCUUGCUUUACUUAUACUGAGCAUCCGCAUCAUAGCUAACACAAUAUGUUUAUCUCAACAUGCAGCAAGGAAUAGCCUUGGACCUUCUCGUACUUAUUGAAGAUUUGCUCAAGUAAUUGAAGACACUUUGGGGCAAAUGGUUUAAUGGAGAUCAGAUGGUGUUACAGUUAACUUCUUACUGAGGGUUUCCGAGUUUCGACCCAGUUAUUUGUUAUCUGAAUAUACUGUCUUUGAGAAAGCCUUAACUGGAUACCGGGCCUUGGGCAAAUAAUUGUUCACAAACUAUUCUUUUGAAACUUCUUUAACUUUGUUGUCACAAACUACUGAACAGGUUGUUUUUAGUGCAUUAACUUUGGCCUCUAAGGUAAAGCUAAAGCAGGGUAUAUUUUCUGCUGGCGAGCAACUGUGGCCUUUGAUAUUAAUUAAACCAUUUAGUCUGUUUAUUUUUAAAUUUCGCCUGAUCAUAGUGCAUCUUUAAAUGUUGUUAGCAAUGGAAAUGAGACCAGCACUAUCCCAGUGCUAGAAAAGUUCAUGUAAGGAGCUUGAUAUGGAUCGUUCUAUAUGAUUGGAGUGUUUGAUGCUAAUCAGCUUGAUCCAGGAGGUUGAUAGUUUGCCGUGAAUUAUGCACGUCUGUUAUAACCACGAGUUGCAGAAACAUCAAAUUUAGGCGUUACAUUACAGUUUGUGAGGUGUUGUUCCUAGUUGCUUAGCAUGAUCAUCUGACUGGUUAAGCCGCGCAUCACUGCUGCUGCUGUUUCUAUCAACCCGUUUGGCCCCGAAUCAACCUGCCCGAUUUCAGCCGUACCCUGUUUUUCCACCAAUUUUAAGAAAUCCUUGUUCAGGUUGUCUGCACCCUUUGUGAUAUUGAUGUUAUUAUCAACAUCGAGCCUUCUAUUAUGUUAGUUGGCAUGGUCUGGCACAGUCGGUAUGGUUUCCGUGUCUUUCAUGCUGAUAAGCUUAUGUUAUCCAUGCAGAUCAUGCCGACAUAUGAAAUUGGGCAUGUUUACCAAUCCUUAAUUCAGAGCAUCCUUAAAGAGUGAAGAUGUUAAGUGAUCAAAAUUCAAAUGGAAAUAAAAUGACCGGAGAGGACCUUCAUUGUUGGCAAUAUCAACCUUGGCUGCAAAACUGUUUUCAGCUCCUUCAAUUAAGGUGUAUAUCUGCAUGCUAUUUCAAAAAGAGAAUAGCUUUUAAUACAAAAGGACACGCUAAUACUAAUAGAGGACGUGUAUGUAGACGACAAUUCUAUGUAGAUUACAUUAUAACAAAUAACAAAUAAGGAUACCGUUUCACAACCAGAUCAAAGCACAUAACAGAUUCAAUUCCAUUCCUAUAAAAUCCCAAAAAUGAAAGAAAAACGAUAAUAAGCCAUAUCAAUAUUUUGAACAACUGGUAAAACAGGGAACGAGAUGUUCCUUGGAACAGUUCACUACCCAUAUAGAACUUUCAGUAAACACCCAAUACUUGCACUGUGAUGGCGCAACACAAUAAUGCCUUAUCGAGGCGCAAAGAAUCAAGAAAUCGGGAGAUUCGAGCUUUACGAAUCGCCAUCGUCUAAUAUUUUUCUUGCUAGAAUUCCGACUAGAAGAAUUUCAGCUUCCCCUGGUGUAAAGAAGAUUUUGCUUCACAAAUCGCCCUUUCGGCCCCAGACAACUCCGAACAGGACUUUGUUGGCCCCAGAGUCACCGCAAAGUACAAAUAGAUGGUGCAUAGAAAUGCUAGCACAACGAGCAUUGUUAGAAGGAACUUGUGCCGGUCAAAGAGAGUAGACCAACUGCCUAACUCCUCGCGGCCCAAGAACUGCUUCUUUGAUGACGACGACGAUGAUGAAAAGAAUGUGUUCUGAGAUCUCCUAUGGGGAGAUGAGAGUGAGUCAAGAACCAUGUUAAUCCUGUAACAAAGAUAAAGGCAACAGCUGAAACCACUUCAAGCUGAAACUAGGUACCUCAUUAACUCCAAAUCAUAGCAUUAUGCAUGUUAAGUAGAGCAACUAUAAUGUCCACCUCCGAUGGAACAAAUUAGCCGAUAAUAACUUAUUCAGUAUUGAGAUUUUCUUUUGUGAUUGCACAAAUUUCAAUUCAAGUGCAAAAUCCUCAAGACCGUGAUUUCUUUAGGAUAAUGCAUUUCACGUACGAAGCGAUUAAUCAUAUUCCUAAAGGUUGACAUUCUUUUCAUAUUCUCAUUAAUAAGUUACCACAUGUCCUCUGAGCAAAUAAAAGAGAUAUUCCGAACAAGAUAGUUAAGCAUCCAAACGGGACAAAAAAGAAGACCUCAAUCCAUUAGAACACCUUCGAAUACAUCGCCGUCAUUGUUGACGAACAACCACAUACCACAAAUGAGCUACACAAUUUAGUCUGAUCAUGAACUUUGAGGAUAAAAUUUUCUUCCUACUGAUGAGACCAUACUCGAUCCUACAACUCAUAUGAAAAAGUUUCCCAACAUUUCAUGGGUGAAAACUCAAACACCUCCAACACCUGGUUUGAGAAAUCGAUCUUCAAAAACUACUGCUUUUGCUCCUCCCAAACUACGAAAUGGCGGCAGGAACCUCCACUAGAGGAGUGCUUCUCUGCUGACAUUUUUUGCGCUUUUCACAGCGCAUUUAAGUUUCGAGACAACGCAAGGCCCUAACGUUCGUUGAAACGUCCAUUCAUCAAAACAUCAACAACCGAGGCGUUUUGAUUUGCAUCGUUCGUGGAUCUCGCAACAAGUACAUACGAAAUUGACAUUUCCAACAACAGCAGAAGCAGGUCACAUCAAAUUACACAAAUUUCACCCAAAAAUUCCUACGAACUCGGAUCCGUCCACAAAAGCAAUCAAAAUUUUCAAAUUUCCUCAAGAUCGUGACAAAUUACCCUUAGAUUCACCUACGGAGCGAGGAUUAAACCCUAGAAAACAAAAUUUACAGGAUCUAGAGGUGAGGGCUCUGGGAUUUUUGCACGUACCGAUCGGUGAAGAGAGAGGAGAGAGAUCGGUGGACGAACCCUUGCUUCUCGAACGUUCGUUCGUGCGCGGCACCCCCCUCCCCCCAACUCCCCCUCUCUCCCGAAUUAAAGUCGGAAAAAAUUAAAUAAUUAAUUAAUUCAUUAAACAGGCAUAAAAAAUCCGCCACCGGUUUCAAAAAUGUGUAUUGUUAAUGAGGAUUUAUUUACAAUACAAUAAUAAUAUAAUAUAUGAGUGGUGGAUUUGGGACGGUUAAAGGGACUUUUGCAUAUAUACCCCUCUAAGACUAUGUAAUUACGCACGCUUCCUUAGAAAGGUUAGGUGAAAGUAGUAAAAGAUGCGUGGAGACACGGUCAACUAAAUUGUAGAAUAGUGGAUUCUCUUUAGACAUUGUAAAAGAGAAAAAGAGAAAAAUCUAGAAAACAUAUAAUUUUGAAAAAACUUCAAAAAUCUUCCGUGUGGUUUCGUAAUUUCUCACUUUGCCCUCUUAUGAUUUAAAAUGUAUCAAAUUGCCCCUUGUGGUUUCGUUUUUAUCUUUUCAGUAGCUUUUUCGUUAAUAUUUCAUUAAAUUAUAUACAAAAAACUUCAGAUACCCAUCUAGAUUUAUCAAAUAUUUAUUUUAGUACCUUUACUUUUAACUUUAUCACUAAUUUAAGAAAAAAAAUAAUAAAAUUGAUAAGAAAAAGAGAAAAAAGAAACUAGGGGAAGAUAAAUUGAUACAUUUUAAACCACAAAGG
rnacentral:lncRNA from 1 species